GACGAACGCUGGCGGCGUGCUUAACACAUGCAAGUCGAACGGAAAGGCCCUGCUUGCAGGGUACUCGAGUGGCGAACGGGUGAGUAACACGUGGGUGAUCUGCCCUGCACUUCGGGAUAAGCCUGGGAAACUGGGUCUAAUACCGGAUAGGUGACAUUUUUAGUGUGAUGGUUGGAAAGUUUUUUUCGGUGUAGGAUGAGCUCGCGGCCUAUCAGCUUGUUGGUGGGGUAAUGGCCUACCAAGGCGGCGAAGGGUAGCCGGCCUGAGAGGGUGGACGGCCACAGUGGGACUGAGAUACGGCCCAGACGCCUACGGGAGGCAGCGGGGGGGAAGAGUGCACAAUGGGCGCAAGCCUGAUGCAGCGACGCCGCGUGGGGGAUGACGGCCUUCGGGUUGUAAACUCCUUUCGCUAGGGACGAAGCUUUUUGUGACGGUACCUAGAUAAGAAGCACCGGCUAACUACGUG
rnacentral:rRNA from 1 species